rnacentral:rRNA from 1 species
GACGAACGCUGGCGGCGUGCUUAACACAUGCAAGUCGAACGAAGUGGCGAACGGGUGAGUAACGCGUAAUCCACCUGCCCUUCAGAGGGGUACAACAGCUGGAACCGCCUCCUAAUACCGCAUACUGAAGGCGGGGGUUGCGUGUGCUUCGCUAGGUGGAGGGGUAACGGCCCACCAAGGCGAUGUUCAGUAGCCGGUCUGGGAGGAUGAACGGCCACAUUGGGACUGAGAAACGGCCCAGACUCCUAAGGGAGGCAGCAGUGGGGAAUGUUCCGAAAUGGACGAAAGUCUGACGGAGCAACGCCGCGUGAGGGAUGAAGGGCUUCGGGUUGUAAAGCUCUGUUAAUCGGGACGCGGUACCGGAAUAGAAAGCCACGGCUAACUACGUGCCAGCAGCCGCGGUAAUAC